UACGUAGGGUGCAAGCGUUAAUCGGAAUUACUGGGCGUAAAGCGUGCGCAGGCGGUUAUGUAAGACAGAUGUGAAAAUCCCCGGGCUCAACCUGGGAACUGCAUUUGUGACUGCAUAGCUAGAGUACGGUAGAGGGGGAUGGAAUUCCGCGUGUAGCAGUGAAAUGCGUAGAUAGUGCGGAGGAACACCGAUGGCGAAGGCAAUCCCCUGGACCUGUACUGACGCUCAUGCACGAAAGCGUGGGGAGCAAACAGGAUUACGA
rnacentral:rRNA from 1 species